CUAUAAAUAAGAGUGAGUAGAGAAGAAGGAAAUUGCAAAGUGGCAAAAGAAUUCAAUCGUCUCUCAAAAUGAAGUCCCUCGUCGCAAUUAUAUCCAUUCUCUUUGCAAUCUUUCUCUUCUCUUCCUCUUUAACCACAGCUCGAGAAUUAACACAGACAGCUGCAGAUGUGAAUGCCUUAGGUGAUGGUACUAUUGGCCAGAUCGAUGGUACUAUUGGCCAGAUCGACAAGCCUCAACCAAAGAAAGGGUAUCCAUACAAACCUUAUCCAAAGAAAGGGUAUCCAUACAAACCUUAUCCACGGAAGAAAAAGCCACCACCCAAGAAGAAGAAGCCACCGACGUAACCGAUGUAGAAGCCUUGUUAUCAAUACAAGUCCCAUGCUUACGAAACAAGUAGUUCUUGAAAAUGGAUUUCUGUACGUGUGGACAAUAAAUGUUCUCGAUGUCACUGUCUUGAAAACUUUAAUUUCUGGCUUAAUUGCACUUUCUUAGUACUUAUGUGUUGUUUGUACUUUGAUUAUAAAAAAAAAAAUAGUAUUAAUGCAAUAAAAUUAGCCUAUCCAUAUAUAUUUAAGUAUAUGGAUUAUUAAUUUGA